rnacentral:rRNA from 1 species
UACGUAGGGGGCAAGCGUUGUCCGGAUUUAUUGGGCGUAAAGAGCUCGUAGGCGGCCAACUAAGUCGGACGUGAAAUCCCUCGGCUUAACUGGGGAACUGCGUCCGAUACUGGAUGGCUUGGAUUCGGGAGAGGGAUGCGGAAUUCCAGGUGUAGCGGUGAAAUGCGUAGAUAUCUGGAGGAACACCGGUGGCGAAGGCGGCAUCCUGGACCGAUAUUGACGCUGAGGAGCGAAAGCCAGGGGAGCAAACGGG